rnacentral:tRNA from 1 species
GCCAAUGGCUUACUGGGUUAGAUAAAGCAUGGUGCUGGCAAUACCAGGGUUGCGGGUUUGAUUCCCGCAUUGGCC